rnacentral:rRNA from 1 species
UACGUAGGGGGCUAGCGUUGUCCGGAAUCAUUGGGCGUAAAGAGCGUGUAGGCGGCCCGGUAAGUCCGCUGUGAAAGUCGGGGGCUCAACCCUCGAAUGCCGGUGGAUACUGUCGGGCUAGAGUGUGGAAGAGGCGAGUGGAAUUCCUGGUGUAGCGGUGAAAUGCGCAGAUAUCAGGAGGAACACCAAUUGCGAAGGCAGCUCGCUGGGACGUAACUGACGCUGAGACGCGAAAGCGUGGGGAGCAAACAGG